UUUUAAUAAACGUGAAAAGAUUCACAAGUACUUUCAAAGGUUUACACAUGUCCUCUGCUCUGAAUGGAGAGGGACCAUUCCAUGACCCCUGGGUGGGACAGUUCUCCUCUUCCAUGUCCUGUACCCUCACAAAACUGUGAGAAAACCAAAUGCUGGAGAUACCCUACAGGCUUCUAGGACCACUGGAAGCAAAUGUAAAUGUUUACUUAUUUCAUCCCAAGGAAAGAGCUCUGCAAAGGCUAAGAAAGGACUUUGAAGAGAGGGCACGAAGGCGAAAGGACAGAUUGCAGUCUGAUCUUCUGUUGUGGCCUCCAGGGAAGAAGCACUGAUUAAAAGCAGAAGGUCAGUGUUGUCCCUGCUGGGCAAACUUGAGAUUCCUGAAGAGCCUCUCAGCCCACUAGGACUCUCAAACCCUACUUUGGAGUGGGCAGAAAAGAGACUCAGCAAUUUCCCCUUGAAGGCUGAUCUUGGCCUGAGCUCAUCAUUAAAUGUGAAGCAUUUGGAUUUUUACAUGACCCGUGCUGCCCUGGUCAAACAAGCCAUUAGUCACAGCUCCUAGCUUUAUAAUUUCCUGGAGGAGCCUCAGGUUUUAAGUCUCCCCGAGCCUCUCUUUUCAGGAAACGGGAGAUGACGUUGACCCAUAUGAGUCAAAAAUAGCGUGCCAGGUCACUGUUUGCAUAGCUCAUUGACAAGGCUUGGCUGUGGCUAUUCCUGAUCCCUGCAUUCUAACUCUGCAUUCCAUUUGCGGAACACAACCAGUCCCUUUUCUAGGGCAGCAAAAAGCUUUAUUCUGAGAUUUUUAAUUAGAUGUCAAAUAUUAGAGCUGCAGCUUGAGAUCAUGGCCAUCUUCCCCCAUCCUUAGUGGUUAUAAAUGGAAACUGCAGUGACCACAUCCCUGCUGCAGGGACUGACGGCAAGGUCGAGGCCCUAAGCCACUGGCCCCCAACACUCUCCCCAUACGAUUGUUCUGUCAGUGUUUCCCACAGCUAUUUUCCUUGGACUGUCUGCAUCCUCACCUGUCAGAUGAAACUCCACAAGGAGAAAAAUCAGCAUCCCAAGAACACUGCUCUGAAAACAGAGAAUCAGGUGUAGACUGGGAAGCCAGUGGAGACAGUUCCAGUUCACCUGCACACCUGGCUCUGGGCAAACCUGGGAUUUUGUGUGCAAGCCCUGACAUAGGAAACACUGCCACCCUGAGGAGUUCAGCUUUGAAUCGCCUUCCAAAGAAAGGUAAUCCUAGAUGAACAGAAGCUAAAGAAUUUCAGGAGUAAAGGAGAAUUUAAACUUCAAUGACUAGUUCAACUACCUCUUGAACCCAUCUUAUGAAUAACCUCUUGUCCUGUUUUGGAGCUCUUAUGUACCCCAGAAAAGACUAUGUUCUUUUAGUCCAUUCUUGUGGGUACAGACCUGUUGUUGGGUGGGACCUUUUGGUUAAGUUGUUUCCAUGGACAGGUGACCCAGCCCAUUCAAGGUAGGUCUUAAUCCCCUUGCUAGAGUCCUCUAUUAGAGGAUAAAAGAGAGUUGAAACUCAGAGAGCUCAGAGAAGCCUAGAGAGAAAUACCCAGAGACAUUUGGAGACUGCCAUUGAAACAAGAAGCCGGGAGAGAAGGAUCAGCAGACGUCACCAUGUGCCUUCCUAUGUGACACAGAAAUCCUGGAUGCCAGCAGCCUUCCCUCAGAGAAGGUAUCUUCCUCUUGAUGCCUCAAUUUGGACAUUUUCAGGGCCUUAGAAUUAUAAAUUUGUAACCUAACAAAUCUAUAUUGAAAAAGUCAACCAAUUUCUGGUAUAUUGCAUUCCAGCAGCUUUAGCAAACCAAAACUCCUCUCUUUCAAAAAUCCACCUACAAAUAGGUUGUUUUACCCAUAGAAAGCAUUUCCCCAUAUAAUCAGUAUUAUACACGAUGGCCAGGUAAAUGCACAGAUCAGCUCUGAAAGUUUAUGAACCCCAUAAUGUGCCCGAAAUUUUGCACAAACAUGCAAAGUAGGAUAUUACAUUUUAUUCUAAAUUUCCUAAGACAUUUAAACAUAUAGAGUAUAUCAAAUUUUUAAUAGACAAAUUAUCAUUUUACAAUGUGAUAUACUUCAAAUAAUUAAGACAAAAUAAAACUAAAGAAGAUACAGAUUUAAUUUUAUAUGGAAUGUUAGUGUUGAAGGAAAGUUUUUAUUGUAUUAAGACAGGUAGCUUAGUGGAUAUUCCAGUGGAACAUUUGGAGUACUUUCAAGAGCUUUAGAUACGGAUGAGUCUGGUGUUUUAUUAGACCUAAUUUCCUUCCAGAACAUACAGGCCUUCAGAGAAUUUUCCAGAAAUGACUGAUUCUAGUAGUAGGGCAAGGGAAGUUCAAGAUGAGCCUGGAACAUCUUAUUGCACCAGAAAGAAAGGAAAUACUUUAAAAAUGAUGGGAACAUGAUUGUAUAACUGUAUAGCUUUCAUCAUGUGACCAUGUGAUUGUGAAAACCUUGUGAUGGACACUCCCUUUACCCAGUGUAAAGGCAGAUGAGCAAGAAA